rnacentral:rRNA from 1 species
GACGAACGCUGGCGGCGCGCUUAACACAUGCAAGUCGAGCGAGAACCAGGGCUUCGGCUCUGGGGAAAGCGGCGAACGGGUGAGUAACACGUGAGUCAUCCACCCUCGGCACCGGGAUAGCCCGGGGAAACCCGGAUUAAUACCGGAUGGCCCGUCUGCCCUUCGGGGCGGCCGGAAAAGGUAGCUUCGGCCUCCGGCCGAGGACGAGCUCGCGGCGGAUUAGCUUGUUGGCGGGGUAACGGCCCACCAAGGCGACGAUCCGUAGCUGGUCUGGGAGGACGAGCAGCCACACUGGGACUGAGACACGGCCCAGACUCCUACGGGAGGCAGCAGUGGGGAAUCUUGCGCAAUGGGCGAAAGCCUGACGCAGCGACGCCGCGUGCGGGCAGAAGGCCUUCGGGUUGUAAACCGCUUUCAGGAGGGACGAAGCCACUCGGGUGAAUAGCCCAGAGGGUGACGGUACCUCCAGAAGAAGCCCCGGCUAACUACGUGCCAGCAGCAGCCGCCGUAA